rnacentral:rRNA from 1 species
UCCUACGGGGGGCAGCAGUAGGGAAUUUUCGUCAAUGGGCGCAAGCCUGAACGAGCAAUGCCGCGUGAACGAGGAAGGUCUUCGGAUCGUAAAGUUCUGUUGAAGGGGAAAAAGAGCGGAGAGAGGAAAUGGUCUCCGAUUGAUAUUACCCUUCGAGGAAGUCACGGCUAACUACGUGCCAGCAGCCGCGGUAAUACGGAGGAUGCGAGCGUUAUCCGGAUUUAUUGGGUUUAAAGGGUGCGUAGGCGGACUGGAAAGUCAGCGGUAAAAUCGAGAGGCUCAACCUCUUUCCGCCGUUGAAACUG